rnacentral:rRNA from 1 species
GUGGGGAAUAUUGGACAAUGGGCGAAAGCCUGAUCCAGCAAUGCCGCGUGAGUGAUGAAGGCCUUAGGGUUGUAAAGCUCUUUUACCCGGGAUGAUAAUGACAGUACCGGGAGAAUAAGCUCCGGCUAACUCCGUGCCAGCAGCCGCGGUAAUACGGAGGGAGCUAGCGUUGUUCGGAAUUACUGGGCGUAAAGCGCGCGUAGGCGGUUUUUUAAGUCAGAGGUGAAAGCCCGGGGCUCAACCCCGGAACUGCCUUUGAAACUGGAAAACUUGAAUCUUGGAGAGGUCAGUGGAAUUCCGAGUGUAGAGGUGAAAUUCGUAGAUAUUCGGAAGAACACCAGUGGCGAAGGCGACUGACUGGACAAGUAUUGACGCUGAGGUGCGAAAGCGUGGGGAGCAAACAGGA